rfam:Toxocara canis scaffold385, whole genome shotgun sequence.
CGGGCAGUAGCUCAGUAGUAGAGCUUCCGCUUCAUGUGCGGGAAGACCUGGGUUCGGUUCCCGGCUGCUUUC